AUAGGUUGCAGCAUCAUCAGCCUCCACAGGAUUGAUGGUGAGUGUGAAGUCUGUCCCAGACCCACUGCCACUGAACCUGGCAGGGACCCCAGAUGCUAGGUUGGAUGCAAGAUAGAUGAGGAGUUUGGGUGGCUGUCCUGGUUUCUGCUGGUACCA